rnacentral:rRNA from 1 species
UACAGAGGUCUCAAGCGUUGUCCGGAUUUAUUGGGCGUAAAGAGCUCGUAGGCGGCUUGUUGCGUCGGCUGUGAAAUCCCGUGGCUUAACUGCGGGCUUGCAGCUGAUACGGGCGGGCUGGAGUUCGGUAGGGGAGACUGGAAUUCCUGGUGUAGCGGUGAAAUGCGCAGAUAUCAGGAGGAACACCGGUGGCGAAGGCGGAUCUCUGGACAAAUCCUGACGCUGAGGCGCGAAGGCUAGGGGAGCAAACGGG